GACGAACGCUGGCGGCGCGCUUAACACAUGCAAGUCGAACGGAAAGGCCUGCUUUCCCUUGUGGAUUGCGGGUACUCGAGUGGCGAACGGGUGAGUAACACGUGAGUGAUCUGCCCCCAACUUGGGUAUAAGCCUGGGAAACUGGGUCUAAUUCCCGAUAGGACUGCAGGGUGGUGCCUGUGGUGGAAAACGAUUUUCUAGUGGUUGGGGAUGAGCUCGCGGCCUAUCAGCUUGUUGGUGGGGUAAUGGCCUACCAAGGCGGCGACGGGUAGCCGGCCUGAGAGGGUGGACGGCCUCAUUGGGACUGAGAUCCGGCCCAGACUCCUACGGGAGGCAGCAGUGGGGAAUAUUGCACAAUGGGCGGAAGCCUGAUGCAGCGACGCCGCGUGGGGGAUGACGGCCUUCGGGUUGUAAACUCCUUUCGACCGCGAGGAAGCCACCUGGUUGGAAGGGUGGUGACGGUAGUGGUAGAAGAAGCACCGGCUAACUACGUG
rnacentral:rRNA from 1 species